GAUGAACGCUGGCGGCGUGCCUAAUACAUGCAAGUCGAGCGAACGGACGAGAAGCUUGCUUCUCUGAUGUUAGCGGCGGACGGGUGAGUAACACGUGGAUAACCUACCUAUAAGACUGGGAUAACUUCGGGAAACCGUAGCUAAUACCGGAUAAUAUUUUGAACCGCAUGGUUCAAAAGUGAAAGACGGUCUUGCUGUCACUUAUAGAUGGAUCCGCGCUGCAUUAGCUUGUUGGUAAGGUAACGGCUUACCAAGGCAACGAUGCAUAGCCGACCUGAGAGGGUGAUCGGCCACACUGGAACUGAGACACGGUCCAGACUCCUACGGGAGGCAGCAGUAGGGAAUCUUCCGCAAUGGGCGAAAGCCUGACGGAGCAACGCCGCGUGAGUGAUGAAGGUCUUCGGAUCGUAAAACUCUGUUAUUAGGGAAGAACAUAUGUGUAAGUAACUGUGCACAUCUUGACGGUACCUAAUCAGAAAGCCACGGCUAACUACGUG
rnacentral:rRNA from 1 species